UACGGAGGGAGCUAGCGUUGUUCGGAAUUACUGGGCGUAAAGCGCGCGUAGGCGGCUUUGUAAGUUAGAGGUGAAAGCCCGGAGCUCAACUCCGGAACUGCCUUUAAAACUGCAUCGCUUGAAUCCAGGAGAGGUGAGUGGAAUUCCGAGUGUAGAGGUGAAAUUCGUAGAUAUUGGGAAGAACACCGGUGGCGAAGGCGGCUCACUGGCUCGUAACUGACGCUCAGGCGCGACAGCGUGGGGAUCAAACAGG
rnacentral:rRNA from 1 species